UGUCCUAUCACAGUUCCACGCUAGAAUUCACUGACCUCCUGAGAGCGAUCCAUUCUUUCACAAAUGUUUGUAAAAACAGUCUGCCUACCUAGGUGCCUGAUUUUAUACACUUGUGGCCAUGAAAGUGAUUGGAACACCUGAUUCCAAUAAUUUGGAAGGGUGAGCAGAUACUUUUGGCAAUGUAGUGUAUAUUCUCAGACUGAUUUUUGAUCAGUCUGAGAAUAUACACUUAAAAACAUUUUUGUGCUCUGCUUAUAAUGCAUAGUUAAAAUCCAUCUUCAACUACAUUGCAUCUCAGAGACAAUUUUUUACUUAAUUGAUUUUAAUAAUCUAUUUUACUUUUAAAACAAUUAUAAAGUCGCUCUCUAUCACCUGAACAACAUUUCCAGGAUUAAUGGACUAAUGUCUGAGUAGGAUCUUCAAAAACUAAUCCAGCUAGUAACCACUAACCUGACAACAGCCAGAUGCAUGUCUCGCUCCGCCCAGAGCCAUAGAGAGAAAAAGAGUCGCGACACUCCCAUUGGACUGCGUUGUACGCUUUUUGCCGCCUACUUCCGGGGUAUGCAGCCUCGCGUAGUUCCAAAAAGCCAUUCUAUGGCGUUGGACAUCAUUCACUUCCAUUGCUGACUGUCGAGUAACUUCUGAGGCGGCUGCUGCUGGAGGCGAUGACUGCUUGAGCUGGCUGAUGUUGGCGAAGGAUGGUGAUGGCGGCUGCUGCUGAUGGCUGCGGCUGCUGAUAAUGUUGGCCUCUGCUGGUGCUGGCUUGUGCUGGCCAUGGCUGCUUGUGGCGACUGCUGACUGCUGGAAUAAGAGGAGACUGGAGGCUGUGGAGACUGCGGACGGUGUGCCGGGAAUGGAGUGGCCCAGUACAUCCCAUGGCAACCAGUAAGGUGUUCGUUAGUGGCCUAGAUGGUAUGACCUUAGGUGAGGAGGUCUGCUGUGUGGAAAUCGCCUUCUUGGUCUGACUCUUGCUGCCAAGGUACCCCUUAUUACGGCUGUUUGCCUUCCUCUCAUCUCCGAUGCACUUUGAGUGAAUCCUUAACCUCAGCCUGAUAUAUGUUGAAAGGAUUUUUUUUUUCAGCUCAUGGCAUGAGGGAAGGUUGCUGUCCAGACUCAUGGCCUCUCUUUCCAGCUGCUCCACUACGUUGGAGGAUUCCAUAAGGGAAUCACUCGUCUUGGAACGGAAGAGCUGCUCCACGUGCUGCAGGAGAGUGAACAGCUCAUCGGAUGGCCGUGCACACUGGCAUUCCUCACAGAGCGAGAAGCUGAUGACCCUCUUCGCUACGUAUCCUGCCAGGUGGUAGAGGACACAAGACUCAGUCUUUGUGAGGUCAGGUGGUGAUGGAUCUACCAGCUGCUCCACUCUCACAACCUGAGAAGCACUGCAGUUGCUGUUCUUGUUGUCCAAGAAGUCCGCCAAGUGGUCUGAUGCAUCAUCCAGGUAACUGCCAGUAUGCGUUGUCGAGAGGAACUGCCCUACAGUGACAGCCCAUAGUGCAUAGUGGAACUCCACAGGUGUCGGGACUGAGUUCCUCUGACGUAUGCAAGAAAAAGUAUUUUUGUCGGCAGUCCAGAAUGAACUGGCUUGAAUGAACAUAUUUGUGCCCCUGUCUCAACAGAUCUUGCUGGACCAGCAGUAUCGUUGUUGUGGCCAUCACAGGUUUCAGUGGAGCGCCCCCCCCCCAAAAAAAAAUGGUUACAAUACCUGUUCUUAACGCCUGUUUACACAUUUGUUGUUCUUGUUCACACAUACUGUACGUAUGUUUGUUGUUAUUAUUCAUGCUUGUUCCCAUUUGUUUUGUUCCACACCGUUCAUUUUUAUCGUAUGCCAGGUACCUUUAUUAUUAAUGUUGUCCUUCCUUUCAGCCCUGAUGCACUCUGAAGCCUGA